ensembl:lncRNA
UUUUUUGGUUUUGUUUUUUUUUUGCCAAAAUUAGCUGUUUGGUGAUGUCUGUGGAGUCUCCUUGCUUUGCAUGUGUGGUGUGCCAAGCCAGCAUAGAAGAGCGAGUGGAGCGGCCACUCCAUAGCAAACCACAGUUGUCAGGUCUCAUGCCAGGGCACGCGUGAAGUCUCUGCGUGUGGUGAUUCUGCAGGGACAGGGCCCAUGUGCCCACUGAGACCAGCCAGGGCACCAGUGGACAGUGGCCUCUGUCGGGAGUGAUCUCAUCAUUGUCGUUAAAUGCUCUGUCUCCCACUGUCCCCAUCCAUAACUGUGACUUCGUUUUUUGUUUUUGUUUUUAAAGGAGAGUCUGUAACUGCUCCAAUUCCGGAGAAAGCACAGAGGUGUAAGAUUCUGCGUCAGGCGUCAGUCUCUGCUGACCUGGAGCUGUGCUGUGUGCCAGGGACUUCUUCGCCCCUUCCCAGAGACAGCAGAGAAUAGUGAGGCCCCGGGGGCACUGCAGGGGACUCCCUCGGGGUGAUGUGCCUUUUCUUCCGGUCUUACAAGUGCAGGAAAAUACCUCUGUGCCAGGUUCCUUUCUCAGCUCUACAGACAGUGUGAACAGUUGAGGUCCUCAAAUCUGCAUUCUGAACAACAGACCCUAGCAGUGGAACCCAAGGGGGUGGCGUGGCUUCUGCGUGAACAAGGCUUUAGGUGAGGGCUUUGGAGCAGGAAGUCAGGAUAAUAUUACCAGGUUAGCCCAGCCAGGUUGGGCACUAAAUGAGAGGGACUGCAGGUAGCUGCCUUCAGGCCAGUGUGGUUAUGUCUCAGCGUGUUUCUGAGGGGUACCUGCAGCUAAAUCUGCUGAGUCCCCUGUUCUUGCUGUUCAAAGGAUGGCUAAUCACAUUCGUGGAGUUUGAGGGGCGCCUACUGCUGAUUCUGGCCGCUGUUGGCACCUGUUUCCUGGAGCAUCUGAUGAGCCAAACUGUGUACAAUUUAUGAGGCAGGGGUGAGGCUGUGGGCUGGACUUUUAAGUAGGUGAAUGUUCUGGACCCUGAUAACAUGGGACCCCAGCCCACAGUCUGGUUCAGUGAGUACUUCACUGAAAGACUGAAACUGGCCUUCACUGGACCAAGCACCGCCGGCAAGUACUGACAGGAACAGAUUGUGGGGAGCACACAGGGCUGACUGGGAGCUGGGGUUUCCUGGAACCAAAGAAUGUGACUGGUGUGCUAGUGACCUUGGCCUUGCACGCUGUGGGGUUGGGGCUCAGCUCCAUCUGCUGAGGUUUCCUCUCUUGGGAGUUGGUAUUCCAAAAACACGUUGGAAUUCAUUUCUCCCUUUUGGCCUGGGUUUCCUCACUUGAAAAUUUGGUCAGAAAAGGUCUCUUUUGGUGUCUGGGGCUGUGAUUUUAAUCAGUGGUCUUGCCGGCCAGGCAGAUUUGGUGAGCCUUCCUCUCUUAGGACAGAUGUGCCUGUGCAUCCCACAGAGGUGAGAAAAGCAAAAGAUUAGGCUCCGCUUCUCUCAGAGCCAAUCCCUGCAGGCCUCGGGUGUGAGGGAGGAGAGUCGCUGGCUGAGGUUAGCGCUCUCUGUUGGGCACACAGUGGUGGAGCCAACUGAGGAACUGAGUCAGUGGGAUGCACACUCGAGUAAGGGCUGACCCCAGGCCUCGCAGCAGUGGUCAGUCCCAAAUUUAAGAGAAAAUUGUGGAAUCGGGUGUGGCAUACACCUGUAAUCCCAGCAGUCAGGACAGUGAGGCAGGAGGAUUGCUGUAAGUUUGAGGCCAGCCUAGAGUGUAUAGUCCUGGGCAAACCUGGCCUACAGAGUGAGACCCUGUCUCAAAAAACCAAAGGAUGAUGACUUAAAAAAAAAAAAAAAGACAAUGGGGAAUGGGCGUUUGAAAACCCCCCAAAAUUUAAGAUUAGUGUAAAUUGGGACCAAAGCUUUUGUAUUUUCUAGAACAAUGAAAGCAAGAGUUGGAGUCCCUUGUUCUGCUUAUACUAACUGCGAGAGCUAGGGGCAGGUCUCAGGGGUCUGAGGUUGGACUGUACAAGAAGAACCCUACCUCACAGGGCUGUUGUGAGGUGUGUGAGGGGAUGCCCUGUGAGGACCCAGCGCUGGGUCUGGUCAGCAAUGGACUCCAAUAAACACUAAAACUGAAACCU